rnacentral:rRNA from 1 species
CCCUGCCUUUUGUACACACCGCCCGUCGCUCCUACCGAUUGAGUGGUCCGGUGAACUUUUUGGACUAUUCGCCCUUAGCUGGAUAGGAAGUUAAGCAAACCUUAUCACUUAGAGGAAGGAGAAGUCGU